UACGUAGGGACCAAGCGUUGUCCGGAAUCAUUGGGCGUAAAGAGCGUGUAGGCGGCCCGAUAAGUCCGCUGUGAAAGUCCAGGGCUCAACCCUGGAAUGCCGGUGGAUACUGUCGGGCUCGAAUCCGGAAGAGGUGAGUGGAAUUCCUGGUGUAGCGGUGAAAUGCGCAGAUAUCAGGAGGAACACCAAUGGCGAAGGCAGCUCACUGGGACGGUAUUGACGCUGAGACGCGAAAGCGUGGGGAGCGAACAGG
rnacentral:rRNA from 1 species